GACCCCCAGAUUGGAAACAUUACCAUUUCUGAUCACUCUCCAAUUUUCUGUUCCUUCCACCCACAACCUGGAUCUGCUGGAGGGAGGUCUAAAUCUUUGC